UACAGAGGGUGCGAGCGUUGUCCGGAAUCACUGGGCGUAAAGGGCGCGUAGGCGGCGCGGCAGUCAACGGUGAAAGCUUGGGGCUCAACCCCGAGUCGGCCGUCGAUACUCCCGGGCUUGAGCACUGUAGAGGCAGGUGGAAUUCCGGGUGUAGCGGUGGAAUGCGUAGAGAUCCGGAAGAACACCGGUGGCGAAGGCGGCCUGCUGGGCAGUAGCUGACGCUGAGGCGCGACAGCGUGGGGAGCAAACAGG
rnacentral:rRNA from 1 species